rnacentral:rRNA from 1 species
UACGUAGGGUGCGAGCGUUAAUCGGAAUUACUGGGCGUAAAGCGUGCGCAGGCGGUUUUGUAAGACAGGCGUGAAAUCCCCGAGCUCAACUUGGGAAUUGCGCUUGGGACUGCAAGGCUAGAGUGUGUCAGAGGGGGGGUAGAAUUCCACGUGUAGCAGUGAAAUGCGUAGAGAUGUGGAGGAAUACCGAUGGCGAAGGCAGCCCCCUGGGACAUGACUGACGCUCAUGCACGAAAGCGUGGGGAGCAAACAGG